AUGCCUUAUUUGAUUUUUCUCAUCAAAUUAAACCAACAAAGAUGGGUGAAAAGCCAAGCAUCAGACUUGCCUAGAGGGCAUAUUUCUUAUGUCAUCACUUUCUUGUUUCAUCAUCUGGCCAUGGAUCCAACAACAUCUUCAACCAAAGCUUUGUUCUUCUCCUCAACCUUAAGACCUUCAUCAUGA